UACGUAGGUGGCAAGCGUUAUCCGGAUUUAUUGGGCGUAAAGGGAACUCAGGCGGUCUUUUAAGUCUGAUGUGAAAGCCUUCGGCUUAACCGGAGUAGUGCAUUGGAAACUGGGAGACUUGAGUGCAGAAGAGGAGAGUGGAACUCCAUGUGUAGCGGUGAAAUGCGUAGAUAUAUGGAAGAACACCAGUGGCGAAAGCGGCUCUCUGGUCUGUAACUGACGCUGAGGUUCGAAAGCGUGGGUAGCAAACAGG
rnacentral:rRNA from 1 species